rnacentral:rRNA from 1 species
UACGUAGGGGGCAAGCGUUGUCCGGAAUCAUUGGGCGUAAAGAGCGUGUAGGCGGCUCGAUAAGUCUGCUGUGAAAGUCCAGGGCUCAACCCUGGAAGGCCGGUGGAAACUGUCGGGCUAGAGUCCGGAAGAGGCGAGUGGAAUUCCCGGUGUAGCGGUGAAAUGCGCAGAUAUCGGGAGGAACACCAAUGGCGAAGGCAGUUCGCUGGGACGGUACUGACGCUGAGACGCGAAAGCGUGGGGAGCAAACAGG